UCCUCUCUUCUCUCACACACCAGCAUCAACACUGGGAAGAAAGAAGGAUUUGAUCUUUUCAGCUAAGUUUUAGUGGGGAAAAUCCAAACAAAAAAGAAAAGAAGCGAAAGCCUUCCUUAGGGGACCCCCCAAUAUAAUAAUCUCUUUGCUUCUUUGUCUUUGCAUUAGCCAUUGAAGAGAUUAUCGCAGAGGAGAAAACAGAGUUGGGGGAAGAAUGUUUGCAGCAGAGAAUGGACUCAAAGGUGACCCAAGGCUACAAGCCAUAUCUGACGCCAUUAGAGUGGUUCCUCACUUCCCAAAACAAGGGAUUAUGUUCCAAGACAUAACAACCUUGUUGCUGGAUCACAAAGCGUUCCAGCAUACCAUCGACAUCUUUGUGGAUCGCUACAGAGACAUGGAUAUCUCUGUAAUAGCUGGAGUGGAGGCUAGAGGAUUCAUGUUUGGUCCAUCAAUUGCCUUAGCCAUUGGUGCGAAGUUUGUUCCUCUGAGAAAACCCAAAAAAUUACCAGGUGAAGUAAUUGCUGAAGUUUAUGAGUUAGAGUAUGGAACCGACUGUUUGGAGAUGCACGUCGGGGCUAUUCCUCCCGGAGAACGUGUCAUAGUAAUUGAUGAUUUGGUCGCAACCGGGGGAACCUUGUCAGCUGCCAUAAGACUCUUAGAACGUGUUGGUGCUAAAGUUGUCGAAUGCGCUUGCGUUAUCGGACUCCGCGAGGACAAGGUAAAUCCUUCCCUCCCUCGUUUAAAAGAUUUGUGAUAAAUUGAAAGAUUUUGAGAACUUUGUGAUGUUUGCUGCACUGUAAUAAUUGUCCUACUGGUUCAUUUUUCAGGGGCAGCGCAGGCUUAAUGGAAAGCCACUCUAUAUCCUUGUGGAGCCGCGCGAAAUAGAUGGUUGUUGUUAAG